GUCCCUUCCCUGGGAUAUCUAUUAAAUGUGAACAACAUAGAGAAUUUUGGCAUGACCACUGUGAAAAGAUGACACAUAAAAAUGCAAAACAUUCCUUAUGUAA